rnacentral:rRNA from 1 species
GACGAACGCUGGCGGCGUGCUUAACACAUGCAAGUCGAACGGAAAGGCCCUGCUUUUGUGGGGUGCUCGAGUGGCGAACGGGUGAGUAACACGUGAGUAACCUGCCCUUGACUUUGGGAUAACUUCAGGCCACUGGGGCUCAUACCGGCUAGGAGCUCCUGCUGCAUGGUGGGGGUUGGAAAGUUUCGGCGGUUGGGGAUGGACUCGCGGCUUAUCAGCUUGUUGGUGGGGUAGUGGCGUACCAAGGCUUUGACGGGUAGCCGGCCUGGGAGGGGGACCGGCCACAUUGGGACGGAGAUACGGCCCAGACUACUACGGGAGGGAGCAGUGGGGAAGAGUGCACAAGGGGCGGAAGCCUGAUGCAGCAACGCCGCGUGCGGGAUGACGGCCUUCGGGUUGUAAACCGCUUUCGCCUGUGACGAAGCGUGAGUGACGGUAAUGGGUAAAGAAGCACCGGCUAACUACGUG